GGGGGCGUAGUGCAGUGGUAAACAUGUCGGCCUGUCAAGCCAAAGAUCGCAGGUUCGAAUCCCGUCGCUCCCG
rnacentral:tRNA from 1 species